AGCAAUACAUGGCGUACUGCUCAGUAACACGUGGAUAACCUGCCCUUGGGUCCGGCAUAACCCCGGGAAACUGGGGAUAAUUCCGGAUAACGCACAUAUGCUGGAAUGCUUUAUGCGUAAAAUGGAUUCGUCUGCCCAAGGAUGGGUCUGCGGCCUAUCAGGUAGUAGUGGGUGUAAUGUACCUACUAGCCAACAACGGGUACGGGUUGUGAGAGCAAGAGCCCGGAGAUGGAUUCUGAGACAUGAAUCCAGGCCCUACGGGGCGCAGCAGGCGCGAAAACUUUACAAUGCGGGAAACCGUGAUAAGGGGACACCGAGUGCCAGCAUCAUAUGCUGGCUGUCCAGGUGUGUAAAAUACACCUGUUAGCAAGGGCCGGGCAAGACCGGUGCCAGCCGCCGCGGUAACACCGGCGGCCCGAGUGGUGAUCGUGAUUAUUGGGUCUAAAGGGUCCGUAGCCGGUUUGGUCAGUCCUCCGGGAAAUCUGACGGCUCAACCGUUAGGCUUUCGGGGGAUACUGCCAGGCUUGGAACCGGGAGAGGUAAGAGGUACUACAGGGGUAGGAGUGAAAUCUUGUAAUCCCUGUGAGACCACCUGUGGCGAAGGCGUCUUACCAGAACGGGUUCGACGGUGAGGGACGAAAGCUGGGGGCACGAACCGGAUUAGAUACCCGGGUAGUCCCAGCCGUAAACGAUGCUCGCUAGGUGUCAGGCAUGGCGCGACCGUGUCUGGUGCCGCAGGGA
rnacentral:rRNA from 1 species